rnacentral:rRNA from 1 species
AUGGCGGAGCUGGUGGCCACCAUGGUGGUCGGACCACUGCUCUCCAUUCUCAACAAUAAGGUAUCCAGCAGCCUGCUCGACCAGUACAAGGUGAUGAAAGGCAUGGAGGAGCAACAUGAGAUCCUAAUGCGCAAGCUUCCUGCCAUUCUGGACAUCAUCGCCGACGCCGAGAAGGCGGCAUCCCUGAGAAGAGGUGCAGCGGCAUGGCUCGAGGCCAUCAAGAAAGUGGCUUACCAGGCCAAUGAAGUCUUUGAUGAGUUCAAGUAUGAGGCGCUUCGCCGCAAGGCCAAAAAGGAGGGACACUACAAGGAGCUUGGCUUUGAUGUGGUGAAACUCUUUCCCACCCACAACCGCUUCGUCUUCCGUAACAGGAUGGGAAGGAAGCUCCGCAAGAUUGUGCAGGCCAUCGAGGUCCUUGUGACCGAAAUGAACGCCUUUGGCUUUAAGUAUGAGGAACAGCCGCUGGUCUCCAGUCAAUUACGGCAGACUGGUCAUGCUAACACUGACCCAGAGGAAAUCAAAGAAAUCAUCAAUGAAUCCAGAGCCAAUGAUAAGGGUGCAAUUGUUAGCAGACUAGUUGGGCAAGCUAACAAUGCAGAUCUCACAGUUGUUCCCAUCGUUGGAAUGGGCGGUCAGGGCAAGACCACCUUAGCGCAACUUGUUUACAACGAACCUGCAAUUAAGAAGCAUUUUGAUUUGCUCCUAUGGGUGUGUGCAUCUGAAUGCUUUGAUGUGGACUCCUUGGCUAAAAGUAUAGUUGAAGAAGCUCAUGAGAAGAAGGAUGAUAGCAAAGAUGCAGCCACUUCCAAGAAGACACCACCGGAUAUUCUUCAGAAUGUAGUAAGCGGGCAAAGGUACCUCCUUGUAUUGGAUGAUUUCUGGGAACGACAGGUUGAGAUUUGGAGACAGCUCAAGGCCCGCCUUGAAUAUGGUGGCAUGGGUAGUGUGGUCUUGACAACUACUCGUGACGAACAAGUGGCUGAAAUAAUGUGCCCUAUUGGAGCUUACAAUCUCAAAGCUUUGGAAGAUAAAUUCAUAAAGAAAAUCAUCGAGACAACAGCAUUCAGCCGUUUCAAGAAGGCUGAGGAAAGGCCUAGCGAGUUGGUGGAAAUGGUUGAUGAGAUUAUGAAGAGAUGUGUUGGUUCUCCUUUAGCUGCAGUAGCACUAGGCUCUGUACUGUGUACCAAGACCAGUAAGGUAGAAUGGGAGGCUAUAUCAAUCAGCAGCAACAUUUGCACCGAGGAGACAUGA